GCCUCCCUAGUGGUAGGAGAAUAAAUGUCUAUCAUUUAAGCCAUCUAGUCUGUAGUUGUUUUUUAUGGCAGCCCUAGGAAACUAAUACA